rnacentral:rRNA from 1 species
AGAGUUUGAUCCUGGCUCAGAUUGAACGCUGGCGGCAUGCCUUACACAUGCAAGUCGAACGGCAGCACGAGAGCUUGCUCUUGGUGGCGAGUGGCGAACGGGUGAGUAAUAUAUCGGAACGUACCCUAGGGUGGGGGAUAACGUAGCGAAAGUUACGCUAAUACCGCAUACGAUCUACGGAUGAAAGUGGGGGAUCGCAAGACCUCAUGCUCAUGGAGCGGCCGAUAUCUGAUUAGCUAGUUGGUGGGGUAAAAGCUCACCAAGGCGACGAUCAGUAGCUGGUCUGAGAGGACGACCAGCCACACUGGAACUGAGACACGGUCCAGACUCCUACGGGAGGCAGCAGUGGGGAAUUUUGGACAAUGGGCGCAAGCCUGAUCCAGCAAUGCCGCGUGAGUGAAGAAGGCCUUCGGGUUGUAAAGCUCUUUUGUCAGGGAAGAAACGGUGGACUCUAAUACAGAUCACUAAUGACGGUACCUGAAGAAUAAGCACCGGCUAACUACGUGCCAGCAGCCGCGGUAAUACGUAGGGUGCAAGCGUUAAUCGGAAUUACUGGGCGUAAAGCGUGCGCAGGCGGUUGUGCAUGACAGAUGUGAAAUCCCCGGGCUCAACCUGGGAAUUGCAUUUGUGACUGCACGGCUAGAGUGUGUCAGAGGGGGGUAGAAUUCCACGUGUAGCAGUGAAAUGCGUAGAGAUGUGGAGGAAUACCGAUGGCGAAGGCAGCCCCCUGGGAUAACACUGACGCUCAUGCACGAAAGCGUGGGGAGCAAACAGGAUUAGAUACCCUGGUAGUCCACGCCCUAAACGAUGUCUACUAGUUGUCGGGUCUUAAUUGACUUGGUAACGCAGCUAACGCGUGAAGUAGACCGCCUGGGGAGUACGGUCGCAAGAUUAAAACUCAAAGGAAUUGACGGGGACCCGCACAAGCGGUGGAUGAUGUGGAUUAAUUCGAUGCAACGCGAAAAACCUUACCUACCCUUGACAUGUCUGGAAUCCUUGAGAGAUCAGGGAGUGCUCGAAAGAGAAUCAGAACACAGGUGCUGCAUGGCUGUCGUCAGCUCGUGUCGUGAGAUGUUGGGUUAAGUCCCGCAACGAGCGCAACCCUUGUCAUUAGUCGCUACGAAAGGGCACUCUAAUGAGACUGCCGGUGACAAACCGGAGGAAGGUGGGGAUGACGUCAAGUCCUCAUGGCCCUUAUGGGUAGGGCUUCACACGUCAUACAAUGGUACAUACAGAGGGCCGCCAACCCGCGAGGGGGAGCUAAUCCCAGAAAGUGUAUCGUAGUCCGGAUUGUAGUCUGCAACUCGACUACAUGAAGUUGGAAUCGCUAGUAAUCGCGGAUCAGCAUGUCGCGGUGAAUACGUUCCCGGGUCUUGUACACACCGCCCGUCACACCAUGGGAGCGGGUUUCACCAGAAGUGGGUAGCCUAACCGCAAGGAGGGCGCUCACCACGGUGGGAUUCGUGACUGGGGUGAAGUCGUAACAAGGUA